AUCCAAAUUUUGGCUCGGAUAAUCUGCUGACACCCUGCCUCCACCACAUAUGUGGUAGCCAUGCACUGGAAAUGCAAGGAAUUUAGCAGCUAUGGGAAGUUACAACCAUCACAGAGCCUAAACAGAAGUUCUCCAGAGGUAGAUCAUCUUCAGUGGUUGAUGGCUGACCCAAGAACCUCAGAACAAGCUGAUGAUCACGUGAAGUAGGAAACUUCUGCCCAAGACCAUUGGAACAAGACUCUUCUACAUGUUACACUUAAUCAUGUAUACUCUUGUUUAUUAUUAUUUUUAUUCUACUUCUUUUUUAAAAAUUUUUUAAAUGUUUAUGUAUUUUUGAGAGAGAGAGAGAGACAGUGCAUGAGUUGGGGAGGGGCAGAGAGAGAGAGAGAGAGGGAGAUGCAGAAGCCGAAGCGGGCUCCAGGCUCUGAGCUGUCAGCUCAGAGUCCAACAUGGGCUCCAACUCAUUGAGCCACACAGGCGCACCUGUUAUACUACUUUACCAGUUUAAAGUUACUGCACUUCUGACUUAGUCCACCAUAUUCCCCUUACUGAUAACAAUGACUCGCCUAAGUGUACGCUUUAGGUAAAAUGUCUUUGCGUUAACAUGGCUCUUGUUGAGCAGGAGUUGGCAACUAUUUUCUGUAAAGGGAUAGAACAGUAAGUAUUUUAAGCAUUCUGAGUUACAUACAGUUUCUGUCAUGUAUUCUUCUUUUUAAUAGUCUUUUAAAAAUGUAAAAACCAUUCUUGGCUUGUGGUCUGGAUUUGACAUGCAGGCCACACUUUGUCAACCCUUUGGGGCAAGUCAUUCAAGAGGUGUGACUAGACAACACCAUUGAUGGACUGUAUCUCUUUACAGAAACCAAAAGCGAAAGGAAAACCUCCCCCACCUCCUCCUUUUUUUUUUUGAAAGACUCCUGUUAAUAGUGACUCCAUCCUUAGAAAUCAAACAAUUUGAGUUGACCAUCAAAAACUGGUUCCCUCAUAUUGGAUGACAGUAAAUAGUACAGCCUGAGGAUAAAACAGAGCAGUUUAAAUUCCUUAACUAAAGUAGUCAUGGGUUACAAAAUAGUCAUAGAUUUUCUUUUGGUCAACCAGGGAAGAAUCAUGCCGUUGCUCCCUGAAUUAACACUACUCAUAAGAAAAAAAAAAACUGUAGCUAGGCUGAAGAAAAGACAAUCUGGAUAUUUCAUAUAGGCAAAGGUAGUUA
rnacentral:lncRNA from 1 species